UUGGGCUGAUUCCACUUGCACAGAAGGAGUAAAAGUUUAGCUUAAAUGAAUCAAUGCUGAUUUAUGUGAGGAGAUAAAUCAGCCUUCAACAUAAUUGAAGCCGUGCUGGAUUUUAUCUAAAGAAGGCUUAUACCAACAAGACUUCUAGCAGUCAUCUCAGAAACUUUUUCUCAGGGGCCGCAAAGGUCUUUGACAAUGGGAAUUAUGUUUCUCAAUCUAAGAGUAUGACAGGAUCAGUCCAGGAGGCUUGCAUGUAUCUUUUACUGAUUUUUUUUGUGUGAAACAGUUUUAUUAAGAAAGUAUUUUUGCUAGAAUAUAGUUAUACAUAGCCACUGGAAGUUGAUUAAUUGAAAUUUGGAAGUGAUAGCUAUACUUUUUAAAUGUUAAUUUUUCAAUGUUUUAUUUAGGCCAACAUUUUCAAUCACAAAAGAAUUCAUCUUGAGAUUCAAUCAAACACAAAAUUCCAAAGAGAAGGAAGAAUUGUUGGAACUAGCUAGAAAAAUCAUUCUCAGAUGUAAGAGAAAAUUGGGUCUCAAAACCCUGGGCUCUGGAAGGCAUGUGCAUCUUCCUGCUGCAUGGACUGAAGUAAUAUAUCUGGCUCAAUGCAAAGGGGAAAUCCAAGAUGGUACGUACUUUAAAUUCUUAUUAGGCAUCCUAAGUAUUUUCUAUAUCAUCAGUGAAGGCAUAAUUUGAGAACUUUAAUUUUUAAAAAUUGUGCAGAAGACAAGAAAUUUUUCUACUCUAUCAAAAUACAUUUUAUUAUGAAAAUUCAUUUUGUAAUUUUGAAUUUAUGAUUUUAACUAAGCUUUUUAGUGAUAAAACUAUUUUAAAAACUUUACUCAGCAUAGUCUUUAUUACUUUUUUGCCAAAAUUAGCAACUAAUUAAAAACUAAUAUAAAAUGUCAUUUAGUGAUUUCCAGUUACAAUAGGCACUAGACUUUAGAGAAAUUUGCUUCUUCAUUUUAUAAUUAUUACUUAUAAAACAUUAAUCAAAUGACCAUUUGUUUUCCACUUAUUUUAAAUAGCAAGCUUUACUCAUUACCUUUUCAUUUAUCACUCCUCAUUUAUGCCUCCUUUAAAACAUCCUCUAAC
rnacentral:lncRNA from 10 species